rnacentral:rRNA from 1 species
UAAGUUGUUAAAUUGAUUAAGAUUGAUCCUGUCUUUUAUUUUUGGUUGAUUGGUUAUUUGAUAAUAUUAAAUAUAAAUUUUUGUGUGUUUAUUAGAUUUAUCUAAAAGAUAAAUUUUUUAUAUAUUUGUAGUUUUUAAUUUUGAAUAUUAUGGGAACAU